rnacentral:rRNA from 1 species
UACACGGCGACGUGAUGCUAAUCCCUAAACGCCUCUCUCAGUUCGGAUUGGAGUCUGCAACCCGACUCCAUGAAGCUGGAUUCGCUAGUAAUCGCGCAUCAGCCACGGCGCGGUGAAUACGUUCCCGGGCCUUGUACACACCGCCCGUCAAGCCAUGAAAGCCGGGGGUACCUGAAGUGCGUAACCGCAAGGAGCGCCCUAGGGUAAAACUGGUGAUUGGGGCUAAGUCGUAACAAGGUAUC